UACGUAGGGUGCAGGCGUUAAUCGGAAUUACUGGGCGUAAAGCGUGCGCAGGCGGUCCUUUAAGUCAGAUGUGAAAUCCCCGGGCUUAACCUGGGAACUGCGUUUGAAACUGAAAGGCUAGAGUGUGGCAGAGGGGGGUGGAAUUCCACGUGUAGCAGUGAAAUGCGUAGAGAUGUGGAGGAACACCGAUGGCGAAGGCAGCCCCCUGGGCUAACACUGACGCUCAUGCACGAAAGCGUGGGGAGCAAACAGG
rnacentral:rRNA from 1 species